rnacentral:rRNA from 1 species
UACGUAGGGUGCGAGCGUUAAUCGGAAUUACUGGGCGUAAAGCGUGCGCAGGCGGUUUUGUAAGCCAGAUGUGAAAUCCCCGGGCUUAACCUGGGAAUGGCAUUUGGGACUGCAAGGCUUGAGUGCGGCAGAGGAGACUGGAAUUCCUGGUGUAGCAGUGAAAUGCGUAGAUGUCAGGAGGAACACCGAUGGCGAAGGCAGGUCUCUGGGCUGACACUGACGCUCAUGCACGAAAGCGUGGGGAGCAAACAGG